rnacentral:sRNA from 1 species
ACCGGUUGCGGUUCUAGUUGUUAUACUCACUCACAAACCUGAUGUCUAGUCAUAUUUGACUCCAAAACACUAACAAAACUUCUUCUUGCUUCUCAAAGCUUUCAUGGUGUAUUCGUAGUCCGUAUGAGUCUUUGUUUUUGUAUCUUCUAACAAGGAUACAAUACUUAGGCUUUUAAGAUCUAGUUGCGGUUCUAGUUGUUAUACUCACUCAUACACAUGACAUCUAGUCAUAUUAGACUCCAAAACACUAACCAAGCUUCUUGUUGCUUCUUAAAGCUUUGAUGGUGUAGCUGAAGUCCGUAUGAGUCGUUGGCUUUGUAUCUUCUUACAAGGAAAUACUACUUAGGUUUUUAAGAUCCGAUUGCGGUUCUAGUUCUUAUACUCAAUGAUACACAUGCCAUCAAGUCAUAUUUGACUCCAAAACACUAACCAAGCUUCUUCUUGCUUCUCAAAGCUUUGAUGGUCUAGCCGUAAUCCAUUGAGUCUUUGGCUUUGUACUUCUAACAAGGAUACAAUACUUAGGCUCUUAAGAUUCGAUUGAAGUUCUAGUUGUUAUACUCACUCGUACACAUGACAUCUAGUCAUAU